CAUGUGCGUCCAGGCUUAAUUGGUUGCACAAAGACCAAGCCAGGAUGAGCAGACACGGAUUCAUUAAGCCAGGUGAAACCAAUCCUGGAUAGGUGCGCGCUCACGGCUCACUCAAAUAGACCCCGCCACAGAUCACAGAUUAACUGAUUUACCAUGGCAACUAGAGCCGCGUACUUUUCCCCGUCGGAACCACAAAUCCUCAUGGAGGCAUACGAGGAGGUAAAAGAUAUAAUUAAGAAGAAAGGCAACACCGCCACAGUGAUAAAGCAAAGAGAAAAAGCGUGGCAAAGUAUUGCAGACCGCCUGAAUGCAUUAAACAUGAACGGGCCAAAACGGACAUGGCAGCAGGUCAAAAUCAAAUACAAGAACAUUCUGCAGAAUGCAGUGAAAAAGAAUACCCACAGACAAGGCACGGGUGGUGGGUCACCAAAGGCUGACCUUACCCCAGCAGAGGACAUGGCCUUGGAGCUAAAUAAAGGCAGGCCCGUCUUAGAGGGGAUCCCUGGGGGGAAAGAGACGAGCAUAGGUUCCUCCCAAGAUGCCACCCGCUUCAUUCAAGUGUCUGGCAGCACUGUGUUCCUGUUAGAGCCACCAGCACAAGCACCAGACGAUGCUGAUCCAGGUGAAAGCCCCAGUGCAGCAGCAACAGCACAUGAUGGAGACGAUGAUGAGGAGGAGACCAUCUCUGUGGAUUCCAGAAGGCAUGAGGACCCAGAUGCUAUACAGUGGGAAAACCAGCCUGGCAACAUAAGCUCACAAGCUAUCAGAAAGUUGUAUGGCAACCACCUCCGGUGCCAAAUAGAACUGGCAGACAUAGACAUUCAGUACAAGAAGAAAAAGAUAGAAAAUCUUGCACUGGAGUCCGAAAUAAAAAAGAGGACAAUUAGGAAACUGGACCUUGAAAUAAAAAAACUUGAGAGGGAGCUCCAAGAAGAUGACACAGCUCAAAAUAAAAAUUAGGUAUAUUCUCGUAAAGUCAAGUGAGCCAUGACAUAUGAGCUCUUAUUGUGAGCACACAGGACGGAGGCAUCUUUCUAAGCACCAGGUGUGGCCACUAGCCUAUAUGAAGGCCCAAAAUUGUGUGUUCCUUUCUGCUCUGACAAUGGCAUGCCCAUUCUUGCGAGAUGUGGUGGAUGAAGAAGCACUUGUGCUGAGGAGAGCCUUCAGGCGAGAAAGGGUCUUCAGGGACCGGUUGGACCCACUGGCCUUCCCUGAUGACCAUCUAUAUGAAAGAUACAGGUUUUCUGCAGAUGGCAUC